rnacentral:rRNA from 1 species
ACUACGGGUGGCAGCAGUGAGGAAUAUUGGUCAAUGGACGAGAGUCUGAACCAGCCAAGUAGCGUGAAGGAUGACUGCCCUAUGGGUUGUAAACUUCUUUUAUAUGGGAAUAAAAUGUUCCACGUGUGGGAUUUGUAUGUACCAUAUGAAUAAGGAUCGGCGAACUCCGUGCCAGCAGCCGCGGUAAUACGGAGGAUCCGAGCGUUAGCCGGAUUUAUUGGGUUUAAAGGGAGCGUAGAUGGGUGGUUAAGUCAGGUGUGAAAGUUUGCGGCUCAAGCGUAAUAUUGCAAUUGAUACUGGGAGUCUUGAGUACAGUUGAGGUAGGCGGAAUUCGUGGUGUAGCGGUGAAAUGCUUAGAUAUCACGAAGAACUCCGAUUGCGAAGGCAGCUUACUAAACUGCCACUGACAGUGAUGCUCGAAAGUGUGGGUAUCAAACAGGAUUAGAUACCCCAGUAGUC